rnacentral:rRNA from 1 species
GAAGGCAGCCCCCUGGGAUAACACUGACGCUCAUGUACGAAAGCGUGGGUAGCAAACAGGAUUAGAUACCCUGGUAGUCCACGCCCUAAACGAUGUCAACUGGUUGUUGGGGGAGUGAAAUCCCUUAGUAACGAAGCUAACGCGUGAAGUUGACCGCCUGGGGAGUACGGUCGCAAGAUUAAAACUCAAAGGAAUUGACGGGGACCCGCACAAGCGGUGGAUGAUGUGGAUUAAUUCGAUGCAACGCGAAAAACCUUACCUACCCUUGACAUGUCCGGAAUCCUGCAGAGAUGCGGGAGUGCCCGAAAGGGAAUCGGAACACAGGUGCUGCAUGGCUGUCGUCAGCUCGUGUCGUGAGAUGUUGGGUUAAGUCCCGCAACGAGCGCAACCCUUAUCAUUAGUUGCUACGCAAGGGCACUCUAAUGAGACUGCCGGUGACAAACCGGAGGAAGGUGGGGAUGACGUCAAGUCCUCAUGGCCCUUAUGGGUAGGGCUUCACACGUCAUACAAUGGUCGGUACAGAGGGUUGCCAAGCCGCGAGGUGGAGCCAAUCCCAGAAAGCCGAUCGUAGUCCGGAUUGUUCUCUGCAACUCGAGAGCAUGAAGUCGGAAUCGCUAGUAAUCGCGGAUCAGCAUGUCGCGGUGAAUACGUUCCCGGGUCUUGUACACACCGCCCGUCACACCAUGGGAGUGGAAUCUGCCAGAAGUAGGUAGCCUAACCGCAAGGAGGGCGCUUACCACGGUGGGUUUCAUGACUGGGGUGAAGUCGUAACAAGGUAACC